rnacentral:tRNA from 1 species
GAGAUAUUAGCUCAGUUGGUUUACCUGCCCGUACCGUACGGUACGUUCGGGCGGGGAGCACUACCUUGACAGGGUAGGGGUCACUGGUUCGAAUCCAGUAUGUCUCACCA